GUAAGGAGUUGGGGGUGGUGGUGAAGUGUAGUAGUAAGGUGGAGGAGGUGACUUAACUGGUGGUGGAGGGGAGGAGUAGUAGUAAGGUGGAGGAGGUGACUUAACUGGUGGGGGAGGGGAGGAGUAGUAGUAAGGAGGAGGAGGUGACUUAACUGGUGGUGGAGGGGAAGAGUAGUAGUACGGUGGUGGAGGUGACUUAACUGGUGGUGGAGGAGAGGAGUAGUAGUACGGUGGAGGAGGUGACUUAACUGGUGGUGGAGGGGAGGAGUAGUAGUACGGUGGAGGAGGUGACUUAGCAGGUGGUGGUGGGGACUUGUAAUAGUAAGGUGGUGGGGGAGAGGGUGAAGGGGGUGGUGGUGAUUUAUAGUAGUAUGGUGGAGGUGGUGAUGGAGAAGGUGGUGGGGGAGACUUGUAAUAAUAAGGUGGAGGUGGUGAAGGUGAAGGUGGUGGCGGGGAUUUGUAGUAAUAUGGUGGUGGAGGUGAUGGUGAAGGAGGUGGUGGUGAUUUAUAUACAUAUGGUGGUGGUG
rnacentral:lncRNA from 1 species